rnacentral:rRNA from 1 species
UACGUAGGUGACCAGCGUUGUCCGGAUUUACUGGGCGUAAAGAGCGCGCAGGCGGUCGUUCAAGUCGAGUGUGAAAGCCCCCGGCUCAACUGGGGAGGGUCAUUCGAUACUGAUCGACUCGAAGGCAGGAGAGGGAAGCGGAGUUCCCGGUGUAGUGGUGAAAUGCGUAGAUAUCGGGAGGAACACCAGUGGCGAAGGCGACUUCCUGGCCCGUUCUUGACGCUGAGGCGCGAAAGCUAGGGGAGCAAACGGG